rnacentral:rRNA from 1 species
GACCAAGGAGUCUAACAUGUGCGCGAGUCGUAGGGUUACGCUCAAAGCCCGAAGGCGCAAUGAAAGUGAAGGUCGGCCUCGAUUGCCGUUACCUAGGCGGGAUCCGUUCGGGCUUACCGGUCGUUCGCGGCUGAGCCCGGCGGCGCACCGCCGGCCCGUCUCGACCGCAUCGCCGGUGAGGCGGAGCGAGAGCGUACACGUUGGGACCCGAAAGAUGGUGAACUAUGCCCGGGCAGGACGAAGCCAGAGGAAACUCUGGUGGAGGUCCGUAGCGAUUCUGACGUGCAAAUCGAUCGUCGGACCUGGUAUUA